CUUUUUGGAGGUUCUUUCCUGUGGAAUUUUUCCUGUGAGCCUAGAUUUUCAGAGACAGAAACAGGAGGAAAAUAUGUUGGAAAUUGGAAGAAGCUUACAAAAGACUCACAGUAGUCACUGCUGGAAAACAUCUCAGCAAAACAGAUGGAACCUGAAGUCAAUCAGACAAAUUGGAUCAAGUUGUGAAUACAAAUGUUGAAAUUCCACAAGCGGCACAGAUUUUUUUCCUUGCAGGUGAUGAAACUGGCUUUCCAGUACAGUGCAGACCAUAAGCUUUGUUGUGUGGAUCAGAUGGCCCUACCCAGAAAAGAAAAAAUGCCACAGUCACAAGUGGGGAGGGUCAGAUGGGAAGAAGGAGACGUCUGGAAGGACAUGCCAACCAAAUCUCUUUGCAAGAAUGUUUGUUCUUGCAACUCUCUGUGGAAAAUUGUUCUAUGCUUCAGUGCUUUGUACUACUCAGAAACUUUUUGCUUUUCUGCCAGUGAGCCUUCUGUUCAGGGCCAAUUUACAUCUAGCUUUAUUGUGCUGAUGUUUAUUAUCCUCUUGAUGUAUUCAUAACCACGGCCCCAGCAGGCAUUUGUUUUUCAGCCUAUGAAGCCACAGCAACCACUGUGCACGUGUGGUUCUAAAGAAGUGCCUUGUUUAUUCUGGUGGCAAUAAAACACAAACCAAAACUACAGAUCUUGAGAAAAUGUUGCUCUGGUCUCACAUUAUGAACAGUGCAGGUGCUAAGAUGGAAAGCUAAAAAUACUGCUGCUGUUGUUUGCCCUGAAUGCAGGCAGCAAUCAGCUCUUGGUAUUUCUGCUCACCUGGUAGGACAACCUCCUCUGAGUUCUAUCUUCUCCUGUGUAUUAGGUCUUAGGCCCCGUGCCUUCCUUUUGGGCAAAGCAGCAUGAAAUCAGUUUGCUUUCAAAGCAGAUGUGCUGCUUUUACACUCCCCAUAGCAAGAUUGUGAGCUUGACUUCAUCGUUAUCAGUUCAGCCACAAAAACAGCCCUGUUCAACCCAAGGCUGAGCAGUAUCUCCUUAACACAACUGCUUUUUCCCCACAGGCCUUGGGCGAUUCUUGCAAGCUCUAAUAGGUAAGACAUUAAGCAAUGCUGGCUCCUGGCCUAGGAGGGGCUGUCAGGCAAUUUUCUUUGUGUCAGCAUUGCUUACUAUACUGAAGCAAGGAGUAGUGUGCCGCUCUCCUUCCCUGCAAGCUGCGAUUAGCAGGGACACAAAGCAGCUCUGACCAGCUGGCACUGAGAGUCUCCUUGACCCAGAAGCACACCGACAGGCUGGCACAGCUCCUGACAGCUGCUGCCCCAGCAGUGCCCAGCCCUGCCGCUGGGUGCUGGAGGAGAACGCUUGAAGAGGAAUACGCAGCAGCUGAGUCCCUUGCUGCUCUCCCCCUUGCCUAGACAGCUCCAGGUAUGUCUCCUCACACUGCUUGAAUGUGACCACGCAUGAGCUGCUCCACCACAGAGACAAGAUGGCACAAUUCCUGACUUGGUAAAACCAGGCACUCUCACUGAGUGCAUUUCACUGCUAACAUACUGAAGAUAUUAUCAGUCCUCCGGAGUGAGGCUUACCUGAAAAUUGCACAAAGUGAUUUUUCUGAUGACUUUUGGCAGUUGAGGCAAAAGGUAAACACAAUCAAGCUACAAGCACUGUAAAUUCAGCUCUUAGUCACUCAGUGUUUAGUAUUUGCUCAGUAAGUAGUUCCGGUGAAAGUCUAGAUAAUCCCACACUCUAGGCCUGCCAAAGUAUCCCCCAGAUACUAUUUCCAAAAUGUUCAACUAGAGUCUAUCAUUGCUAAAAGAAAUUGUUUCCAACAUAGAAAGAAGAAAUUGGUUUACUGACAGACUAAACAUUUUAAAAAGGAUUACUACACGUGUAACUAUCCUAUCAAUAUUUUUCUGUGUAUUACUUUCAUGCUU